UGGAUAUAAUGAGUGAAA
rnacentral:miRNA from 1 species